CAGAACUUGCUAUGAAAGGACUCCACUGCACUGUCUCCUUCUGUAUUGGCAGAAGGGGCCUAGUGAGCACCCUUCUUCACCUGUGUCUUGUUCUGGUCUCAGAUGCAUAUUUUGAAUAGUUGCAAGGAAUAUGGAUGUGACAAUUCCUGCCUUACCUCUAGUAGAUCAACAUUACAUUUUCAAGUAAAGGGAACAUAGAUUGGAGGGAGCAUGACCUGUGGACCACAGAUUUCUAAGGUAAAUUUCUG
rnacentral:lncRNA from 1 species